rnacentral:rRNA from 1 species
CGAGGGUGCAAGCGUUAUCCGGAUUUACUGGGUUUAAAGGGAGCGUAGGUGGGUCGGUAAGUCAGUGGUGAAAUCUUCGAGCUUAACUCGGAAACUGCCAUUGAUACUAUCGAUCUUGAAUUAUCUGGAGGUAAGCGGAAUAUGUCAUGUAGCGGUGAAAUGCUUAGAUAUGACAUAGAACACCCAUUGCGAAGGCAGCUUACUACGGAUAUAUUGACACUGAGGCUCGAAAGCGUGGGGAUCAAACAGGAUUAGAUACCCUGGUAGUCCACGCCCUAAACGAUGGAUACUCGACAUCAGCGAUACACUGUUGGUGUCUGAGCGAAAGCAUUAAGUAUCCCACCUGGGAAGUACGACCGCAAGGUUG